UAGGAUUGCCGGCGUGUUUGCAGGGGUGUCGGGUCCGGUACCGGUGGUGACGAGUGGCAGUGUGGCACGAAGCGUGGAUGGUCAAGAAGUGUUGUUACAGAGCAGUGGAGUUACCAGGUACCACUUUUAACAGUACCGCCUACCACUGUUACUGGGACGCACGCGCUUUCCCACCGGCGUGCCACCACUCGAGUAACGACCCGACGCCACACUCAGCCGCCUACCUAUCACGCGCUCUGACUCCCAGCCUCCCCGGCGACGGCGCCGCAAAUGACAGCGCGAUGGGUGGCCGUGUGGCGGCGUGCGCCAUACCUUGACUGUGAUGAGCCCCGCCCGGGCCCUGCCAACCGCCUCCACAUCUACUCACCACCCCGAGAACACGUUCCACUCAACGGCACAACACAUAUUAUGGUGCCUUCGCCCACCCGCUUAGACAGCGCGGCAGCCCUAGUUGGGCUUGGCGGGAGUUUCAUCGCAUUGUGGGCCUACAUGUUGGAACGCCUGGAAGGCUAGAAUACGAUGAGGUUCACGGCACGCAGGGCAGCCCUUACCCACCAACCACGCGUCCCCACGCUGUGAUAUGACCCACGAGGCCACGAUGACCCGACGCAGCCUCCUGCCUACAUCCAAUAGGCAAAUGGUCACAUGCCUUUCCAAGUUCCAGGGCGUUCAAUCAGGGAGCCGACGGUGUGAGGGCUCCCUCAGGCCCCUUUGACCGCUUGUUACCGGUGCUGGAUAGCUCGCUCGUUGGCUGCGUCUGCAGGUCCCUCGUACCUUACCUUGUAAUGAACACCCC
rnacentral:lncRNA from 1 species